UUCUGGCUCAGGAUGAACGCUGGCGGCGUGCUUAACACAUGCAAGUCGAACGGAGUUAUGUUGAAACCUAGUGAUAACAUAACUUAGUGGCGGACGGGUGAGUAACGCGUGGGCAACCUACCUUACACAGGGGGAUAACAGUUGGAAACGACUGCUAAAACCGCAUAAUAAGGCGAUACCGCAUGACAUUGCCUUCAAAAAUUCAUUGGUGUAAGAUGGGCCCGCGUCUGAUUAGCUAGUUGGUGAGGUAACGGCCCACCAAGGCGACGAUCAGUAGCCGGCUUGAGAGAGUGAACGGCCACAUUGGGACUGAGACACGGCCCAAACUCCUACGGGAGGCAGCAGUGGGGGAUAUUGGACAAUGGGGGCAACCCUGAUCCAGCGAACCGCCGCGUGAGUGAAGAAGUAUCUCGGUAUGUAAAGCUCUGUCCUUGGUGAAGAGGAAGAGACGGUAGCCAAGGAGGAAGCCCCGGCUAACUACGUGCCAGCAGCAGC
rnacentral:rRNA from 1 species